UUGCCAUGGUGUGGGCACUUCCUCUGAAGGUCUUUGUACCUUUCCUAUGUAUCAUAGAGAGAUUCAUUGUCUUUCCGUCUAAAGGUGUUAAGUUCAGCUCUAAGCUU